rnacentral:tRNA from 1 species
GUCACAGUGUCGGAAUUGGUAUACGAGACAGUCUCAAAAACUGUUGUAGAAAUGCGUGUGAGUUCAAAUCUCACCUGUGACACCA